rnacentral:rRNA from 1 species
UACGUAGGGUGCAAGCGUUGUCCGGAAUUAUUGGGUGUAAAGAGCUCGUAGGCGGUUUGUCGCGUCGGCUGUGAAAACUCGGGGCUCAACCCCGAGCCUGCAGUCGAUACGGGCAGACUAGAGUGCUGUAGGGGAGACUGGAAUUCCUGGUGUAGCGGUGAAAUGCGCAGAUAUCAGGAGGAACACCGGUGGCGAAGGCGGGUCUCUGGGCAGUAACUGACGCUGAGGAGCGAAAGCGUGGGGAGCGAACAGG